GGGAGACAAAAAACCAAAACCAAAACCAACGAAACAAAACAAAACACCACCCCCAAACCCAGCCAGAGCAUAGAAUGAGGGCAGACUGAAUCAGAGAGAGGGCCACUUUUCUCCUCUUGAAGGUGAGGGACCUUGCACUGUCGUCUGAGGAAAACCUGGACUGCUCUUCCCUCCUCAGAUGACCCCGGGAUGAGGAAGGAAGAGCAAGCCCACAGUAAGGCGGCCAUCACUCCCACGUGUGCUUGCGGGGCAACCUGGCGCAAAGGGUUAAAGCCGUAUCAUGGACUUGUAAGCUUCGCUGUCCUGUAGACGUGACCUCACUCUUCCGUUCGCCUCUAGGAGACACAGCAUACUUUUCAAAGGGUAUUUGACUGCAUUGGUUGAGAGGGAUAGAGAAGCAGGGCCCAGCAGAGAAUGACCAGCAUCAGUUUAUUGACGUCUAAGAACUAUUAACCUUUUGCAGAGAAGGGAAAAACCCCUCCGUGUAUCUAGGGCCUCCUGGGUGCUAAUUUGACAUGGCAAUGAGAUAAAAGUUGGGCUCGGGCUGCUAUCAACCUCAGCGGAUCGGAAUGCCGUCUACUUAGCAUAGGAGUCAAACGAUUCCCUGGCAAUAGAUUGCUUUCCGCUUGUAGGUCUACUAAAUAAAUAGAAAAGUAAUUAACAGUGCACUAUGGCAGAUGUAUCAGGGGGAAUUUCAUUAGAGCAGAAGAACUGAGCCAUCUCGUAUCCCACCGUCCGAGGAAGCUUCCCUGCCGUCUCUAGGAUGGAUGUGUGAUUUCUGCUUCUCUUCAAAAAAUGGAAAUUUCUAAAUCUCCUAUGCUCUCUUCACACUGAUCAAUGGGAAAAGAAAAAGAAGCCUGUUAAGUGCCUGAAAUCAGUCCACAAAUAAAG